GACGAACGCUGGCGGCGUGCCUAAUACAUGCAAGUAGAACGCUGAAGGAGGAGCUUGCUUCUCUGGAUGAGUUGCGAACGGGUGUGUAACGCGUAGGUAACCCGCCUGGUAGCGGGGGAUAACUAUUGGAAACGAUAGCCAAUACCGCAUAAUAGUAGAUGUUGCAUGACAUUUGCUUAAAAGGUGCAAUUGCAUCACUACCAGAUGGACCUGCGUUGUAUUAGCUAGUUGGUGGGGUAACGGCUCACCAAGGCGACGAUACAUAGCCGACCUGAGAGGGUGAGCAGCCACACUGGGAGUGAGACACGGCACAGAGGGACUCGGGAAGGAGCAGGAGUGAAACUUGAGGAAGCGGCGGAAGACAGACCGAGCAACGCCGCAUGAGUGAGGAAGGUUGUCGGGUCGUGAAGCUCUGUUGUAAGGGAAGAACGAGUGUGAGAGUGGAAAGUUCACAAUGUGACGGUAUCUGACCAGAAAGCGACGGCUAACUACGUG
rnacentral:rRNA from 1 species